GGCCAUCAGAACAUAUGGAAGGACAGAAUUCCGAGUGUGCAUUAUCUAAGUUUUCUGAUAGAAGCUCCAUCUUCCUACUUACGCUGAUUUCAAAUGAUGUGGAAACCUUGAAGUUCCUUGGCUAACCAUCAAAGGAAAACCAGCUGGAUUAUACUGGCAAAUACCUCAGGAAGGCAGAACUAAUUGCUCCAAUUAUUACUGGAGAGCCAGGUGGGAAAUUAGAAUGUGGGGGCAAUUGGGGAUAGAUAAAAGAAUACUUCUCAGAGGUUAAAGAGGAAGCUGAUAAUACUUAGGUUUAUAAGGCUGCUGAUGUUUAUCUUGACUCAGUUUUUAAAGUUUGGGUUUUAGGCAUUAGUAGUAAGUCUAUUCCUAGCUUAAGGGGACAUGUAUAAAAUAUAGACUUCUUUUUAAAAAAACGAGAGAGGAUAAGGACUACUGUCAGUGCAUAGGCCUGACUCAUUGCUUAAGGAUCCCUUGUGACAGAAAAGUAUUUCUGAUCUUUUAAAUUCUUAAAAUCAGCAUAUGACUGGAUAUCUGCAAGCACUCUCAGCACUUGUUUUCUAUUCCUUUAUGUCCUUUUUUUUGCUCUGUAAUGUAGCAGCUGCUCAUGUGAGAAAUUACCCUUGCUGCUAUUUUCUGCUUUAAAUUUUGUUGGCAUUGAUUAAAAUUAUGCUGUCGAGUAGUAGAUGGCAGACCCUUGCUAGAAGGUGAUGGCAGAAAGCAAGGUUCUGAUUUUAUAUUAAAGACAGUUUAAACAAAGUCAGAUUGAAUUUUAGCUUUUUUAUUUAUAGGGAUAAUAGAGAAGUUUGGCAAUUCUUCUUCUUUCAAUUAGAUAUCUUCCAGGGAAAGAAUCACAUUUUAAUAAAUAAUAUUUUAUUUUGAAAAAAACCUUGUUUUCUACAUGUAAAUCAGAAGGACAAUAUGACUAUAAAAGCAGGUAUUACAGACACUAAGAAUGUGUUUUUUAAAAUAGAUUAACAUGUUUAUAUUACUCUUGAGGAAAAACAAUGAGAACGUGCAGCAACUUAUUUUGCUAUGUACAUAACAUGAACUCAAAACUAAAAAAUACAAUUCAACCACUGUUCAAGUCAGUGGUAAUCUGACUGUUGAUAAAAUGUUGGUAACUUUCAGAUUGCCUGUAUUUCUCUUUAUAUCCAUGGGUCAAUAUCCAUUAGAAUCAAGUCAAGAGUCUCAUACUCAGUCAGUAAAAGAUUCUGUUGAUUCAAAAAAAUGCUUGCAAUUCCAGACUUUUUCCAGGUUCUUAUACAUUUUGGUAUAUGUUAGGAUUAAAUGUACAAAAAUCCAGAAUUAUUUAAGUUGUUGGGAAGGGAGCAAAUGUCAAAUAUACUAUUUGACCUAAAUAGAUGAUGCUUCCUGUGGUUUUGAGAUACCAAUCUAAAAAGAUCUUAAAAAGAAUUGGUUUAAGCCUUGGUCCAGAAACAGAACUAUUCUACACCAUGGUGAAAGUCACUGCUUCUGACUUGGUCAUUUAUUGCUGCUCUAUAUACUGUUAUUUAUACUGCUAGGAGUCAGGAAUCAUGUUACAGAAGAUGGUUCAGUUUCAUGUUCCAAGUUCAUGUUUUCAAGUUCGUAUUCAGUUUCGUUCAAUUUAAUUAAAUUAAAGAAAAAUAAAUAUGUACUAGUUUAUGACCUGUAGGUAAAUUGAAGACUACUCCAGCAUGUGAAUUCACAGUUCCUCUGUCUAUUCAGUCACUUCCUGACAUAAAUAUAGAAAUGAGCAGUUGUACGCUAGGUAAUGAUACUUGUAAUUUUCCUUGGAAAGAACAGUUCUCAGAUUCUUGCUAGCCAAUACUUACAUGUGACAUUCUGAUGUUGCUUCAGUAGUUGAAACAAGCAGAAGAAACUAAACUAAGAAGAAAGUGGAAUUUUCCUGUCACAGAGUUACUGACCUAUCUGUUCAAAACAAAACACUGGAUGAAGUGUGUGAAAUGUGGGUGCCUGAUGCUCCUAAUCAAGGAGAUCUCUAGUUAAUGAAAAGUGGGAAUGAAUAUUUGCUUCCACUUCAGAGCUCAUCUGAUUCCCAACAAAGGUGAAGAACACUGCAUGCUGCCUGAUGUGGGACCAGGAAGCUCCUCAAAUAUAUUGCAAAAACAGUUUCCAGUAAAGUAGAGUAUAAUGGAGGUGAGUACCACAAACAUGCAUCAUCGCUUUAGGAAUGGACUGGGAAACUGAUGAUGCCCUAAUAUUCAUAGUUCAUAACGAAGGCCAGCUUAUAUUGUCCAAUGCGUGCAGCGGUGUUUACAGAAAAACCUUCAAUGCAUCUUGAGAGUUUAGGAAGGGAUUACAGCACAAAAGAACAUCUGGGAGUUCAGUCAGUACAUUUAUUUGGAUUAUCCCUCAGAUUCCAUGGAAAUAAAGAAGAUGCUCCAGAAGUCAAAAGAACAGUGGCAAUUUGAACUGAUUGAGAUUCUGGCUCUUUAUUUGUGAUGAGGGAAUAAAUUGAUGAUAUGUAGUAUUACAGGUGCCUACAAGUAGAAAAUCAUUUUUAAAGAUGCUGAUAGGAAAAUUAACAAGAGAUUGAGCUAUACAUGGAUCAAAACUCCUUUCCUUUCCACUGGUGGUUUGAAAAAUUAUCUAAGCUAAUGACUGUUGACAUGAUAAUUGUGUUGGAAGAGGAAACAGGAAUUGUUAUUGUCCCAAUUACAUUUUUAGAAACAAAAAUGUGCAGUUAGGUUUUUGUCACAGUACAAGAAAUGUCGAAUCAUGCUUAAGCAGACCAGCUUGGAUGCAUGCUUUUUAUUAGGCAACAACAUGAGCAAAGCUAUACUACUUUUCAACAGAAUUCCAAGUACUCCAGUGGAAUGGAAGUGCACACAUUUGUUGCUUCAUAAUACUUCUUAGCACAGUUUUUCAUUAUGGAUUUAUGCGCUGAUAGGUGGAAAAAUCAAGCAGAGUUCUUGAUUCAUGUUAACAUUUACAGCACUUAAUGGAGGGGUAAAAUAAAUAAUUAAAUAUCACAAUGAAUUAGUUGACAUGGCAAGAAGUAUUUGGGAUGUAGUUGGUUUCUUAACCAUGUCUUUCUGCUCACCUCCUUCAGGCUUGACUGGUCCAUCAGACAUCACUUUCCUGAGGGCUAGUUGGCUUUGGUCUUUGUUGUCAUUGGCUGGUGGAGGCAGAUUGUCAGACUGAGUUCUUUGAAUAGGGAGGACUCCUGCUAUGCUGUGUCUGUGCUGCUUCCUGGCAUGAUUAGACUGACCGCUUUUAUGUGCUGCUGUGGCAGUGUGGGUGAAAUGGAAACCCAGAGUAUGUAUCCUCAGAUGGAACCAGCUUAAAUGUUAUUCAUGCAAACAGAAGUGGUUUUUUUUCUGUAUUUAAGUAAGUAGUGUUUUCAAACACCAAAGAGACACCACAUGCACAGCAUUAAAGAGUAUCAAAACUGGCUGUUUCUGUAGUAAUGACAGUGAAGACAAGGGAAAUAAUUUCCCCCCAGUUUUGCAUUAUACCAUGGUGAGUUUAUGGCAUAUCAACAAAUCCUAAAGACAAACACAAUGACCUCACAGUCGGAGAGAUUUAAUUUGCCAUCAACUAAACCCUCAGCUAGCAAUCAGAUGAUACUGGUCUGAAGUACCCUCUGGAGAGUAAUCCUUUGGAAUUGAAUAGUUUUAAUUUAUUUUAACCUAUUUGAAGUUGUCAGAUGAAAUCUACCUUGACCCUUAAUCAAACCAUGGCAAAAAUUUACUCAAAAAUUUGAACUCUGACACCUGACUUAGCUCUCAGCUGCCUUUGAGUUUGCUAACUUGACAACAAUGUUCAAAAAUUGAACAUUGUUCAAUCUGAUGUUGUUACUGGCUCUGUGUGUUUAAUGGUUUUGCACUUAUUGUGUUUAAUGUUUUUAUUGUAUUUCUGUUCUGCUCAUCACUAUCACAAUCUUAUCUAAGAUAUAAAGAAGGUUGUCUUAUAUUUCCUUUCCAAAAAAAAAUAAAAUAGAUAUUUACAGUCGUGUUUCAAAAAUAGAAAUCUCAGCCAUGUAGUUAAAAAAAAGUUUCUUUAACUUCAAAUCUUCUUUUGUGUGUAUAGUACUGUCCUUCAUGAUUACCACUUAUAGAUACAUCCUGUUAUUAAUGUGGUCUCAGUCUUGUACGCAAUUUGAAGAGCUGGCAGUUGCAUCUCUGCAGGUUUUGAUUAUUUAAUUGGUAGGUAUUUAGUGACAUCAAAACACAAUGGACUUCUCUGUGAGUCAUGCACAACCAUGGAACAUCAUGGACUGUGAGUGAAGGGACUGAUGGAGAAACAGCCAGUUUCACUGCAGUCUUCAUAAAAUAAAUAAAUAAAUAACUAAAUAAAUAAAAGACUUCUAAAUACAAGAGUAUAUUGUAAUUAUAUGUAUUCACACACAGGCACACAAAGAAAGACAUUGAACAAAGUGAGCACAGUGUGCCAAGAACAGAAAAAAAAUAGCCGAAAAGGGAAGGACAGCAGGGAAAAAGGCAACAGAUGAACAUUAAGCUGCCAUGCUGAGGAAUUUAUUUGCGUCUUUUACUUGGUUGAAGGCGAAGCUGCUGCACAGCUGCUUCAGCAGCGGCGAUGGCUGCCCCAGCGUCUUCAAGGUGAGUUUGAGUGACGCUGGUUUUGCUUUGGCUGCGAGAUGGACCGUGAGAGCGGAGAUGUCCUUCCGAAGAAGAUUUGGAGCUCCCUGGGCUGCUGUGGGAUUUCUCAAUGGUGGGCAGCUGCAUGUCUACCAGGAAAAUGAAGAAGUACAACUCUUGCAUUUAUUAAAAACAAACCAUUUCAUUCUCUU